AAUGAACCAAACGACACUGACAAAAUCAGCCCCAUUGAAACUAGUAAGCACAUUUUCUCCGAACCCAUUUUUGCUUUUGUUUCAGAUAAAGAAAAAUAGUUUGUUUUUUAAAACACUUGGUAACAUUAAAACCCUUUUGUUAUUUCAUUUGUUUCUUGUGCAGGGUUCCUAACAUAUCCUACAGUCAUGGAUAUUAAUCAAAUACGUGGAAUCUUGCCCUACAGAUGAUUCAAAUAAACACUUCUUCUGUUCUUCAGCCGAAAACCGAACUCGUGACCUUUAGCCGCAGCACCUUCAGCCGUUGUAAUCUCGUCCUCGCUGCUCGUCGUCGUCGCUGCAAUCUCGUCAUCGCCACUGCUUGUCAGUCAUCACCGCUGCUUGUCCUUCACGAAUCUGAUUUGCUGCUGCUACUCGUCGCCGAGUCUCCGCCGUCGCUACCACCUGUUGCAGCCGGUGUCAUCUGCUACUGCUGCCGCUGUCACCUACUGUCAAUUGUUGCUGCUGUCACGGUGCUCCUUUGCUGCCUUUAUUUGUCGCUACUGUUGUGAGGUAUUUCCUCUAAUUCCAAUCUGGGUUCUCCUUUUGCCUUGAGAAAUAUGUGUAGUGUUCUUGUAAUUCUAAUCAAGUGCUUCCAACUGACAAUAAGGAAAUCUAUCGUUCUAAAUGUAGAUUGUGGAAAAGUGUUAGGAUUUGCUUCUUUCAGUUUUCCAAAUUUGAUGUUUAAAGAGAGUUUUAUACCAUGUGCAAUCCUGGAUUGUUGCCAUUAUUUGUCGCUGUUGUUGUAAGGUAUUUUUAUGUUUGUGAUAAAUUUAUUAAUUUAAGAUUUUAAAUUUAAAAAAAAAAACCCAAAAUAGGUUCAAUAGGCUCAUAAUUGAAAUAAUUGAACCGCAUCGAAUCGAAUUAUUUCGAUUAAUCGAGUAUUUAAUUAAUUACGAUUAUAAUUUUAAAAUAAUCGUAAUCGAACAAUUAUGAAAAUUUAGUAAAAAACCGAACCACGCCCACCCCUAAAUCUGACUACAAAAAAUGUUAUUAUUUACGUCUAUUUCAGUAUUUGUUGUCACACACUGUCUUGGUCUUUAUUGUCUAUAAUAUCAUCAUUAUUAUUAUUUACCGAAACCUUUGUCAGAUUAAAAGGAAAUCUAAAAAUAUUAAAUCUCCAUUUAUCAGCAAAUAAAUGAUUAAUUCAGAGAGUAAAGCCUAAAAAUAUAAAAGAAAAUCUUUUAUGAUGUUUCACCACAUGCCAAUAAUACACGAAUAUAAAUUGCGUCAAUUUAUGUUAGUUAAGGUACAAUUUGCCCAGCGUGCCG
rnacentral:lncRNA from 1 species